CAGAGGGCCCUAAUCCCGAAAGCUGCCCAUGAUCCCAGAUGUACUUUGAGGUACUAUGAGGGGAAGGAAAACAAAAAACAAAGGAGUGUACUGGUGUGUUUCUUUGAGAAGUGUGUCAGUUUCUAUGGUAACAAGAAGACAUUUUUGUGAAUAACAGAAAAAUGGGUGUUCAAAAAACCCCUUGACCCAGUGUUGAAUUGCAACAUUAAGAAAAGCCCAGCUAAAUGUAAUGGAAGUGCAGGUAAGAACAACAACCCUACGAGCACUUUCCCUGAUGACAGAAGGAAGCCCUGCUUACUGUAAUUGAAACAAAGCCAGGAGCUGCUGGGAAGUGUGGGCCAAGCACUACUUCUUGAAGAAAGGUUAUUUUUAAAAAGAGACUCUGUUUAUUUAAGAUACAUUUAAGGCCCCAAAUACUGUAGUAUCUGAGAACCUCACAAUCUUGAACACAUUUAUUCUCACAACAAGGAAGUGCUAUUAUCACUAGAUGAGGAAAUGAGAGUCCGUGACAGAACAGGGAACUCAACCCCCUUCUCCCAAAUCCCAGACGAGCACACUAACCCCUGGAUCAUCCUCCUUCUCUGAAAAGAAGUGGUGAUCAGGAUGAGGAACCUCACAAUGGAAUGUAAAGAUCUAGGAAGAAGGGGAAGGCAAACAAAGGGAGGUGAAUGUGAGAUGUAGGAGGGAGAGAUGAGAAAUGGCCUGGAGAAGGCCAUAUUCAUUCUGAAA